GAUGAACGCUGGCGGCGUGCCUAAUACAUGCAAGUCGAGCGAACGGACGAGAAGCUUGCUUCUCUGAUGUUAGCGGCGGACGGGUGAGUAACACGUGGAUAACCUACCUAUAAGACUGGGAUAACUUCGGGAAACCGGAGCUAAUACCGGAUAAUAUUUUGAACCGCAUGGAUCAAAAGUGAAAGACGGUCUUCCUGUCACUUUUAGAUGGAUCCGCGCUGCAUUAGCUAGUUGGUAAGGUAACGGCUUACCAAGGCAACGAUGCAUAGCCGACCUGAGAGGGUGAUCGGCCACACUGGAACUGAGACACGGUCCAGACUCCUACGGGAGGCAGCAGUAGGGAAUCUUCCGCAAUGGGCGAAAGCCUGACGGAGCAACGCCGCGUGAGUGAUGAAGGUCUUCGGAUCGUAAAACUCUGUUAUUAGGGAAGAACAUAUGUGUAAGUAACUGUGCACAUCUUGACGGUACCUAAUCAGAAAGCCACGGCUAACUACGUG
rnacentral:rRNA from 1 species